AUGAACCAUUUCAUCCUGGUGCACGGCCUCUGCCACGGGGCCUGGUGUUGGUACAAGGUGGUUGCGGCGCUUCAGGCAGCGGGGCACCGUGUCACGGCGGUCGACCUGGCCGCGUCCGGCGCUCACCCGGCGCGCAUCGACGAGGUGCACUCGUUCGAGGAGUACUCCCAGCCUCUGCUUGACGUAGUGGCCGCGGCGCCAGAGGGUGGCGGCGAGAGGCUGAUUCUGGUCGGGCACAGCCACGGCGGGCUCAGCUUGGCGCUAGCCAUGGAGAGGUUCCCCGGCAAGGUCGCCGCCGCCGUGUUCGCAGCCGCCGGGAUGCCGUGCGUUGGCAAGCACAUGGGCGUCACCACCGAG
rnacentral:rRNA from 1 species